CCCUAUGGUGGAGGAUAACCCCGGGAAACUGGGGAUAAUACUCCAUAAGUCAGGAGUACUGGAAUGUCUCCUAACUGAAAGUUGCGGCGCCAUAGGAUGAAUCUGCGGCCGAUUAGGUAGUUGUUGGGGUAACGGCCCAACAAGCCUGUAAUCGGUACGGGUUGUGGGAGCAAGAGCCCGGAGAUGGAAUCUCCUUCACGAUUCCAGGCCCUACGGGGCGCAGCAUGCGCGAAAACUUUUACAAUGCAGGAAACUGUGAUAAGGGAACCCCGAGUGCCCGUAAACGCGGGCUGUCCCGGUGUUUAAAACACAUCGGAAGAAAGGGCCGGGCAAGACCGGUGCCAGCCGCCGCGGUAAUACCGGCGGCUCGAGUGGUGACCACUUUUAUUGGGCUUAAGCGUUCGUAGCUUGAUUUUUAGUCUCUUGGGAAUCUCACGGCUUACUGUGAGCGUCUAGAGAUACUGGGAUCUAGGGACGGGAGAGGUAGAGGUACUCAGGGUGAGUGAAUUCGUAUCUUGAGGACACCGA
rnacentral:rRNA from 1 species